rnacentral:rRNA from 1 species
GACGAACGCUGGCGGCGUGCUUAACACAUGCAAGUCGAACGGAAAGGCCCUGCUUUUGUGGGGUGCUCGAGUGGCGAACGGGUGAGUAACACGUGAGUAACCUGCCCUUGACUUUGGGAUAACUUCAGGAAACUGGGGCUAAUACCGGAUAGGAGCUCCUGCUGCAUGGGGGGGGUUGGAAAGUUUCGGCGGUUGGGGAUGGACUCGCGGCUUAUCAGCUUGUUGGUGGGGUAGUGGCUUACCAAGGCUUUGACGGGUAGCCGGCCUGAGAGGGUGACCGGCCACAUUGGGACUGAGAUACGGCGCAGACUCCUACGGGAGGCAGCAGUGGGGAAUAUUGCACAAUGGGCGGAAGCCUGAUGCAGCAACGCCGCGUGCGGGAUGACGGCCUUCGGGUUGUAAACCGCUUUCGCCUGUGACGAAGCGUGAGUGACGGUAAUGGGUAAAGAAGCACCGGCUAACUACGUG